GGGCCUGUAGCUUAGAGGAUUAGAGCACGUGGCUGUGAACCACAGCGUCGAGGGUUCAAAUCCCUCCUCGCCCA
rnacentral:tRNA from 1 species